UCGUUACACGUAAUGUGUGCUCUGGUGCAGGACAUUGAUUCCCUUAUAUCUGGUUUCUUCAUGGUGUUUGUACAUAUGAAGCUCUUGCUUUUUGAUCAGUCUGGCUAGGUACUAUGGUGAUGGAUGAGUGCCAAACAGAAAAGAACAAAAACAUAGGGAAUAAUAGCUGUGAUAAGUUCUCUCUUACUGCAUGCUAGAUUUGUAACUCUGAACCAUAGUUAACAGCUUGUAGUAGGGUCAUCUUUUUCAUUCGAGUUGAACCAAGGGUACUUAUGUAAAUUAGCGAGUAAUAAUCAUCAUCUCACUUUGGAUUACAGCAUUAUUGGAUUACAGUAUUGCUGUCAUUUGAAGCGAUGACCUGUUUGCUUGAGUACUACUGUCAUUUGAAGCGAUGACCUGUUUGCUUGCUGACAUUCGCCGCCUCGGCAGUCACGCUUUGACGCAUGACAGCUAAAACAAUGAAAAUUCGCAGGGCACGC
rnacentral:lncRNA from 1 species